rnacentral:sRNA from 1 species
AUGAAAUGAAAAUAGGAAUUUUGAGACACAAACGACAUGAAAAGAGACGGAAGCACUAUAUAUAAAAAA